rnacentral:rRNA from 1 species
GACGAACGCUGGCGGCGUGCUUAACACAUGCAAGUCGAACGGAAAGGCCCCUUUGGGGGUACUCGAGUGGCGAACGGGUGAGUAACACGUGAGUAACCUGCCCUUGACUUCGGGAUAACUUCAGGAAACUGGGGCUAAUACCGGAUAGGAAUCCUUGCUGCAUGGUGGGGGUUGGAAAGCUUCGGCGGUUUUGGAUGGACUCGCGGCUUAUCAGCUUGUUGGUGGGGUAGUGGCUUACCAAGGCUUUGACGGGUAGCCGGCCUGAGAGGGCGACCGGCCACAUUGGGACUGAGAUACGGCCCAGACUCCUACGGGAGGCAGCAGUGGGGAAGAUUGCACAAUGGGCGGAAGCCUGAUGCAGCAACGCCGCGUGCGGGAUGACGGCCUUCGGGUUGUAAAACGCUUUCAGCAGGGGCGAAGCUUGUGGUGACGGUACCUGCAGAAGAAGCACCGGCUAACUACGUG